CGUUGUAUGGCGCGGCCGACAGGGCGAUUCUGGCUCUGAUUUGGGAUCAGAGGGUCGUAGGUUCGAAUCCUAUCGCUCCGACCA
rnacentral:tRNA from 1 species